UAUAAUCUUGUUUAAAUAUUAUAUUAUGUACGUUGUAUAUAUUAAUAAAUAUAUUUUUCACCUUCUAUUAAAUAAAAGUCAGUAUCGUAUCCAGUAAUCCCUAGCAAUGUAGUUUGAAAAUUACUUCCUUAUGUAUUAAUAUUAUUAUUUCUGAAACAAUUAUAUUCAUCUUGUGAUAUAUGUAUUUACAUAUAUCAAAUGACCUAAGGACUACACAUUGAACGAGUAUCCAUCUCUCAUAGGUGAUCGAUUAAACUUUAAUGUAUAUUAUUAAAUCUUUAUCAUUCGUAGCCUAUAAGUUCCUAACCUAUUGAAAAAGGUGAAUGAAGGAUGAAAGUUAAAUUGAAUUUCAUUCAUUUCAUAAAUAAAUAUUUCAAUUACAAUAGUGUGAAAUAUUAUUCGCAAUCGAAAACUUUGUUUAAUAAGACGGAGAUUGAUUUUAAAAAUUGGGAGGAAGAGUUAGAGAGAACGAUGCAAGUUCUACCAAAUUUUAUCACACUUGAAGAAGAAAAGUCUUUAAUGGAAGAAAUUGAUCCUUAUGUGAGAAGACUAAAAUAUGAACAGUCGCAUUGGGAUGAUGCAAUACAUAAUUAUAGAGAAACGGAAAAAGGCAAAUGGAACAAUGAGAAUGCAAAGAUAAUAAAUAGAAUUCGAGAGAAAGCAUUUUCUAAAGAUAUGUCUCAGAUUUCACUGAUACAUGUUUUAGACUUAGCACCAGAAGGAUGGAUAAAGCCACAUGUUGAUAGCAUUAGAUUCUGUGGAGAGAUUAUUACUGGUUUAAGUUUGUUAACUGAUAGUGUAAUGAGACUAAAAAUGGUUGAUAAUAUAACUUUAUAUAAAGAUUUUCUAUUGCCAAGGAGAUCUCUAUAUAUAAUGAGUGGUGCAGCUAGGUACAAUUAUAAUCACGAAAUUCUAAAAAAUGAAGAAUCUUUUUUUAAAGGACAACAUAUAUUAAAGGGCAGACGUAUUUCAGUAAUAUGUAGAUGUCAACCACAACGUGAUGCUUAGUGCCAUACAAUUAUACAUAACUGUUUCAAAAAGUUAUAUUGUACAUAUAUAAAAUAUAUUAUUUAAUACAUUAUAAAUAAAAAUAAUUUAAUAGAAAGUAAAAAAAAAAAAAUAUAUAUAUUCUCUUAGACACGUGAAGUCAAAGAUAAAUAUAUACAAAUGAUCACGUGACGCUGCAAUUAUUGGUUAAUAGUUGCUAGCAUAUUGAAAUCUUCAGGAAUGAUUUUAAUUGAUAUUUUAAAAAAUGUUUUAAUUGAGCGGCCGAACUUAUGACAUUUAUUUAACCUGUAGUAAAAUAUACUUAAGAGGAUAAUGUUUUGAAAAAUAACUUUUUAUUUUAUAUCACAGAAUUUUGAAUAUGAUGUAAUUUCCCCUAGAUUUUGAUUACAUGGUUUUACUUAUUUUCUCUCGCCAAUCUCAUUAGACUCUCUUUUAUAAUAAAACUAGAUCACAUUUUAUAGUGAAUUUCAAGGUUAAAAAUCCAAGUCAUGAAUGUUGAUAUACAGAAGUAAUAUGAAUAUUUUAAAUCAUGUUUUCGACUGAGAUUAGAGACGCGUUAGCCACAACCGCCUCGAUUUGCACGGUUUUACAAUUUUUAGCCGGCGUCCACUUGCUUCCUUGGAUUUGUGUACUUUUAUAGUUUUUAUGAGGAAGACAGAGCAUUAGCUGCAAAAUAUGUUGGUUUCCUUAGUUGUAUAUUAACAGUAUUAUUUUUUGCAUCUCCAUUAAUGAUGUUGGUAAGUCUCCUAAUUUUUUCAGUUUGUAAUAAUUGCUUGACUUGAAGAACAAAUAAUGGAAUAAAAUAUUUUUUAGGCACAUGUGA